UACGGAGGGGGCUAGCGUUGUUCGGAAUUACUGGGCGUAAAGCGCGCGUAGGCGGCUUUGUAAGUCAGAGGUGAAGGCCUGGAGCUCAACUCCAGAACUGCCUUUGAAACUACAUCGCUAGAAUCAUGGAGAGGUUAGUGGAAUUCCGAGUGUAGAGGUGAAAUUCGUAGAUAUUCGCAGGAACACCAGUGGCGAAGGCGACUUGCUGGAUCUUUGCUGACGCUGAGACGCGAAAGCGUGGGGAGCAAACAGG
rnacentral:rRNA from 1 species